AGCAGCAGCCGCGGUAAUACGAAGGGGGCUAGCGUUGCUCGGAAUGACUGGGCGUAAAGGGCGCGUAGGCGGCGAUCAAAGUCAGGCGUGAAAUUCCUGGGCUCAACCUGGGGGCUGCGUUUGAUACUUGAUUGCUAGAGUGGGGAAGAGGGUCGUGGAAUUCCCAGUGUAGGGGUGAAAUUCGUAGAGAUGUGGGGGAAUACCGAUGGCGAAGGCAGCCCCCUGGGCCAAUACUGACGCUCAUGCCCGAAAGCGUGGGGAGCAAACAGGAUUAGAUACCCCCGUAGUCCCUGUCUCUUAUAA
rnacentral:rRNA from 1 species